rnacentral:ncRNA from 1 species
AGACUUGGUCGUAGAGCCACGACCAACAUGGGUGCAUCAACCCUUAAACUAAAGAAAGCUCACUGAGA